rnacentral:tRNA from 1 species
GCUAGUGUGGUGCAGUGGACAGAGUUUCGGACUAAGAUCUCGGAGACAUGGGUUCAAAUCUCCAUUGUGCCAUGAAAGCC